rnacentral:lncRNA from 1 species
CAGACUAACUCCAGGAGUAGGGAGAUGUAGAGGGGCCCAAGGAAUGUAGGUUCAAUUUUCUGCCCCCCCCCCCUUUUAUUGAGUUUGGAGGAGCAUAUCAGCUGAAUUGGGGAGAGCCUAGGAAGAGAGGACAGGCGAAUCUGGUGAGAGAGCCCACUUUACCUAAAUGCUCUGGGAUAGGAAACUUGGUCUGGGAGAUGGUGGAGUCAGAAAAUUAACUAGCCCCCUUGUAGCACACCUAAGGGAAAGGGACAGUAGGACAUGCUUUACAGGCUUCCAAUAGGAUAUUUAGGGUUUCUGGCAAGGGGUGGGUGCUCUCUCAAGAAAUUAAGAGUCAUUAUUUUCUCAGGAGAGUUGGUUCACCGGGGACCCAUUUGAAUUUCCUACAGGAGCUCUCAUGUAACCUUCCUGCUGCCUUGGGAAAGAGGGAAGUGAGAAAACGAGAAAGGGGGAAGAAAUGUUUAAUAGGUACAAGACUGAAGACUGGUGGCAGACUUGUCCCAGUGGUUAGGGCAUCCUUCUACCACAUGGGAGGUCCGCGGUUCAAACCCCGGGC